AGCGAACGCUGGCGGCAGGCCUUACACAUGCAAGUCGAACGACCCUUUCGGGGUUAGUGUCGGACGGGUGAGUAACACGUGGGAACGUGCCUUUAGGUUCGGCAUAACUCCGGGAAACUUGUGCUAAUACCGAAUGUGACCUUCGGGGGGAAGAUUAAUCGCCUUUAGAGCGGCCGGCGUCUGAUUAGCUAGUUGGUUGCGGUAAUGGCUCACCAAAGCGACGAUCAGUAGCUGGUCAGAGAGGAUGAUCAGCGACAUUGGGAGGGAGACACGGCCGAAAAUCUUACGGGAGGCAGGAAUGGGUGAUCUUGCGCAAUGGGCGAAAGCAUGACGCAGCCAGGCCGGGUGAAUGAUGAAGGUCGGAGAAAUGUAAAAUGCUUUCACCGGGGACGAUAAUGACGGUACCCGAAGAAGAAGCCCCGGCUAACUUCGUG
rnacentral:rRNA from 1 species